rnacentral:rRNA from 1 species
GAUGAACGCUGGCGGCGUGCCUAACACAUGCAAGUCGAACGAAGCACCUUACCUGAUUCUUCGGAUGAAAGUUUGGUGACUGAGUGGCGGACGGGUGAGUAACGCGUGGGUAACCUGCCCUGUACAGGGGGAUAACAGCUGGAAACGGCUGCUAAUACCGCAUAAGCGCACGAGGAGACAUCUCCUUGUGUGAAAAACUCCGGUGGUACAGGAUGGGCCCGCGUCUGAUUAGCUGGUUGGCAGGGUAACGGCCUACCAAGGCAACGAUCAGUAGCCGGUCUGAGAGGAUGAACGGCCACAUUGGAACUGAGACACGGUCCAAACUCCUACGGGAGGCAGCAGUGGGGAAUAUUGCACAAUGGGGGAAACCCUGAUGCAGCAACGCCGCGUGAGUGAAGAAGUAUUUCGGUAUGUAAAGCUCAAUCAGCAGGGAAGAUAAUGACGGUACCUGACUAAGAAGCUCCGGCUAAAUACGUG